AUGCACGCUGGCGGCGUGCCUCAUCCCUGCCAGUCGAGCGAACAGACGAGGAGCUUGCUCCUCUGACGUUAGCGGCGGACGGGUGAGUAACGCGUGGAUAACCUACCUAUAAGACUGGGAUAACUUCGGGAAACCGGAGCUAAUACCGGAUAACAUGUUGAACCGCAUGGUUCAACAGUGAAAGACGGUCUUGCUGUCACUUAUAGAUGGAUCCGCGCCGCAUUAGCUAGUUGGUAAGGUAACGGCUUACCAAGGCAACGAUGCGUAGCCGACCUGAGAGGGUGAUCGGCCACACUGGAACUGAGACACGGUCCAGACUCCUACGGGAGGCAGCAGUAGGGAAUCUUCCGCAAUGGGCGAAAGCCUGACGGAGCAACGCCGCGUGAGUGAAGAAGGUCUUCGGAUCGUAAAACUCUGUUAUUAGGGAAGAACAAAUGUGUAAGUAACUAUGCACGUCUUGACGGUACCUAAUCAGAAAGCCACGGCUAACUACGUG
rnacentral:rRNA from 1 species